rnacentral:lncRNA from 1 species
GAAUCCUGCAAAAGUUUGGAUGAAACCUGUGGCAGUCACUGCAAGACCGCUCUGCUUUAAGAGAAUUGUGUGCUCCAGAAGAGCUGGAAGCUGUGAGUAAGUAUUGGCAUGUUGCGUCUCGAGCUUAUGAAUACUCACCACUGUUCCUUGUCACCUCAAGGGAGGGGAAGGUUGCUUUUUUCCUUAAUUCUAGGAAAACAGCACUUCACCAGCCCAGGAAAGGGAGAAAAGGCAUUUCAUACACCGCUAUAGGCUGGUAAACAAAAGUCACUGGAAACUCACAGCCAUGGCAGACACUUUAAAAACAAGGGGUAACAUGGAGUAGAAUAGGGACAAUACCCUGUGCUGCAAGCCUGGAACUGUACUGAAGGAAAAUAUGAGUCAGCAAUGAUUAGUCCUUGUUACUACCCUGUGUUGGUGUGGUCAAGUCUUCUCUGUGCUGGGUGGGACGAGGUUUCUCCAUAACCCAGUUAUGCACAGGAGCUCUCAAGCAGUGAGCUUCUGG